CAGCACGGAGCAGAAUGGCGGACAAACAAAGUUGGAAAGACGAGUGAAAAACACGGAAUAAAACCAGCGUCAGAGUCGUCGCUUUAGUUUCUUAGCACUGUGAGAAACCAUUACACAGCUACAAGAAGCUUUGGAGCGGUUUUUGUCGAACACGAGCGAGGCUUGGACGCUGAGCACACCUGCGGCCAAGGAACUUCAACCAGCAAAUCACAGAGAGAAGAGACUGACAUGAAGAUUUACAGAAGGUGUCACCACUUCGUCCACGACAUCAUCCAU